CUUGUCACUUGAAAUGUUGUUCAAUGCUCUCAUCACAGCUGCUUGGACAUAUUCAAGUGUCCCAAAUGAUGUUCUUUGAGAUGAGUUUUGAAUUUUGGGGAAGAAAUUUCAAAGAGCCAAGUCAGGACAUACGAGCAGCAGCUGUGGCUGAUACAGUCGCCCAGUGGAUGAAAGGACAAUGAAUCUCUGAAGCCACAUCGUUGCUUGGUAACCACCUGCUAGGAAGCGCAGAAGUGGAACACAUACAGUGCCCUGGAGGCUCAGGGGCAUCACAUCUCAUAGACAAAUGGGUGCCUUGCAGUUGGCCUGAGGAUCAAGCGUGUCAAGCACAGAGCUCUCUUACAAGCAGCCUCAUAGAGAUAUAUACAUUGAACACAGCCAUACUUCAAUUAUGUUGGAAAUAAACAGCAAGAAUUAC